AUUGAACGCUGGCGGCAGGCCUAACACAUGCAAGUCGAACGAGUGGCGGACGGGUGAGUAAUGUCUGGGAAACUGCCUGAUGGAGGGGGAUAACUACUGGAAACGGUAGCUAAUACCGCAUACCAUCGGAUGUGCCCAUAUGGGAUUAGCUAGUAGGUGGGGUAAAGGCUAACCUAGGCGACGAUCCCUAGCUGGUCUGAGAGGAUGACCAGCCCAAUUGAAACUGUGAACCGGUCCAGACCCCUACGGGAGGCAGCAGUGGGGAUUAUGGCACAAUGGGCGCAGUCCUGAUGCAGCCAUGCCGCGUGUAUGAAGAGGGCCUUCGGGUUGUAAAGUACUUUCAGCGGGGAGGCGUUACCCGCAGAAGAAGCACCGGCUAACUCCGUGCCAGCAGCCGCGGUAAUA
rnacentral:rRNA from 1 species